AAUGAACGCUGGCGGCAUGGAUAGGCAUGCAAGUCGAACGGGACACCCUCGGGUGUCUAGUGGCGAAAGGGUGAGUAACACGUGAGCAACCUGCCCCCGAGUCUGGAAUAAGCGAUGGAAACGUCGUCUAAUACCGGAUGAGGACUGGGGUCUCCUGACUCCAACUCCAAAGAUUUAUCGCUUGGGGAUGGGCUCGCGUCCCAUUAGCUAGUUGGCGGGGUAAUGGCCCACCAAGGCUGUGACGGGUAGGUGGACUGAGAGGUCGGUCACCCACACUGGGACUGAGACACUGCCCAGACUCCUACGGGAGGCUGCAGUCGAAAAUCUUCCGCAAUGGGCGCAAGCCUGACGGAGCGAUGUCGCGUGAGGGAAGAAGGCCUUCGGGUUGUAAACCUCUGUCACCCGGGACGAAAACAAUGACGGUACCGGGAGAGGAAGUCACGGCUAACUACGUGCCAGCCGCCGCCGUAA
rnacentral:rRNA from 1 species